rnacentral:rRNA from 1 species
AUCACUUGAAUGAUUAAAGUUUCCGGCGGUAAAAGAUGAGUAUGCGUUCUAUUAGCUAGAUGGUAAGGUAACGGCUUACCAUGGCUACGAUAGAUAGGGUCCUGAGAGGGAGAUCCNCCACACUGGUACUGAGACACGGACCAGACUCCUACGGAGGCAGCAGUGAGGAAUAUUGGACAAUGGGCGAGAGCCUGAUCCAGCCAUGCCGCGUGCAGGAAGACUGCCCUAUGGGUUGUAAACUGCUUNUAUACGGGAAGAAACACUCCAACGUGUUGGAGCUUGACGGUACCGUACGAAUAAGGAUCGGCUAACUCCGUGCCAGCAGCCGCGGUAAUACGGAGGAUCCAAGCGUUAUCCGGAAUCAUUGGGUUUAAAGGGUCCGUAGGCGGGAUAAUAAGUCAGUGGUGAAAGUCUGCAGCUCAACUGUAGAACUGCCAUUGAUACUGUUGUCCUUGAGUAAUUAUGAAGUGGUUAGAAUAUGUAGUGUAGCGGUGAAAUGCAUAGAUAUUACAUAGAAUACCGAUUGCGAAGGCAGAUCACUAAUAAUUUACUGACGCUGAUGGACGAAAGCGUAGGUAGCGAACAGGAUUAGAUACCCUGGUAGUCUACGCCGUAAACGAUGGUUACUAGCUGUUUGGCUCGAUUGAGAGCUGAGUGGCUAAGCGAAAGUGAUAAGUAACCCAU